rnacentral:rRNA from 1 species
GAUGAACGCUGGCGGCGUGCCUAAUACAUGCAAGUCGAGCGAACAGACGAGGAUCUUGCUCCUCUGACGUUAGCGGCGGACGGGUGAGUAACACGUGGAUAACCUACCUAUAAGACUUGGAUAACUGCUGGAAACCGGAGCUAAUACCGGAUAAUAUAUUGAACCGCAUGGUUCAAUAGUUAAAUACGGUUUUUCUGUCACUUAUAGAUUGAUCCGCGCCGCAUUAGCUAGUUGGUAAGGUAACGGCGUACCAAGGCAACGAUGCGUAGCCGACCUGAGCAGGUGAUCGGCAACCAGGGAACUGAGACACGGUCCAGACUACUACGGGAGGCAGCAGUAGGGAAUGUUACGCAAUGGGCGAAAGAAUGCCGGAGCAGCGCAGCGUGAGUGAUGAAGGUCUUCGGAUCGUAAAACUCUGUUAUUAGGGAAGAACAAAUGUGUACGUAACUAUGCACGUCUUGACGGUACCUAAUAAGAAAGCCACGGCUAACUACGUG